rnacentral:rRNA from 1 species
UACAGAGGGUGCAAGCGUUGUUCGGAAUUACUGGGCGUAAAGCGUGCGCAGGCGGCUUUGCAAGACAGAUGUGAAAUCCCCGGGCUUAACCUGGGAGCUGCAUUUGUGACUGCAUGGCUGGAGUGCGGCAGAGGGGGAUGGAAUUCCGCGUGUAGCAGUGAAAUGCGUAGAUAUGCGGAGGAACACCGAUGGCGAAGGCAAUCCCCUGGGCCUGCACUGACGCUCAUGCACGAAAGCGUGGGGAGCAAACAGG